UCUACAAUACUCGUUGACGUUAACUUGACAUUAGCAUUAGCUGCGGACGGCCAAGCGGUCAUAUAAUACGAAUUCAUAAAAUGUUGUUGCGUGUUUGGUCUUCGCGUUUCCUCCGGGCGGUUCGUUCGGCGGCGGGUUUGGCCUCGCUCUCGCCAGGGGGGACAAGAGUGAAAAGUUUGUCCUGCGGACGGCGGCUGUCGCCAUCUGCAACAGGUGAUGACCGUUGCCGGCCACUGGAGGGCGUCAGAGUGUUGGACCUGACCCGCGUCCUGGCCGGACCGUUCGCCACCAUGAUGCUGGGAGACCUGGGAGCCGAAGUCAUCAAAGUGGAGAAACCAGGUGCAGGCGACGACACCCGGGCGUGGGGCCCCCCCUUCGUGGGCUCGGAGAGCGUCUACUUCCUCAGCGUCAACCGCAACAAAAAAAGCGUCGCCGUGGACCUCAAACAUCCUCGAGGAGCACAAGUCGUCCAGGAGCUGGCGGGCGCGUGUGACGUGAUGAUGGAGAACUUCCUGCCGGGCAAACUGUCUGCGAUGGGCCUGGGAUACGAGGAGCUCAGCAAACGGAACCCGGCGCUCAUCUACUGCUCCAUUUCAGGUUACGGACAAACGGGGCCUCAAAAUCAAAGCCCGGGGUACGACUCCAUUGCCUCAGCUGUGUCCGGGAUGAUGCACAUCACCGGGCCAGAGGACGGCGAGCCGGUCCGGCCCGGCGUGGCCAUGACUGACCUGGCGACCGGCCUGUACGCCCACGGCGCCGUCUUGGCCGCCCUGCUGCAGCGCCGGCGCACGGGGACUGGUGCGCACGUCGACUGUGACCUGCUGUCCUCUCAGGUGUCGUGUCUCAGCCACGUCGCCGCCAACUUCUUGAACGGCGGCAAGGAGGCCAGGCGCUGGGGGACGGCCCACGAAAGCAUCGUGCCCUACCAGGGCUUCCAAACCAAAGACGGCCAAGUGGUGGUAGCGGCAGUGAACGACCGGCAGUUCGCCCGAAUGUGUCGGGUUUUGCGGCUUCCGGAACUCGGCCGGCAGCCUCGCUACUCGACCAACAAGCUCCGAGUCCAAAACCGUCGACAGCUGGUGCACGCGCUGGGGCAGAGGUUUCUGCAAGAGACGACGGCCGAUUGGCUGAGACGCUUUGAAGGCUCAGGUGUUCCCGUCGGACCGAUCAACAGCAUCCGUCAGGUCUUCGCUGACCCGCAGCCGUCACGACAACAGCGGACGGGAAGCCGCGGAGGAGGCCCGGCCGGCCGGAUGGCCGACGCGUGACCCCGUCGGGACGCGAGAGAACUUCGGAUGUACGAAAGAUUUCUGGGGAGGAGCAGAACGUUCCAGUGGUGUUCACUCUUUAAAGUGGUCACGCCGAGGAUGAUGAGGAUGAGGAGCCCCACAGAGGAAGGUGAGCAGACGUGUGAUGACACAUCAAAGCUCUGACGUGUGACAUCAUCAACAGCGUUCACGCGCACACACGAAGGCCUCGUCUGCGGCGUGGACCGGACAUCUCAACUCUGUCUCGGCCCUGAAAAUGGCAGAUAGCGGAGCGUCCGCCGGGCCCGGCGGAACCUUGACGACCGUCUGGCGGGCGAGUGGUUUGAUUGACAGCUUCUUUUGGAUUGGAUCGACAUCGCCACUGACGUGGUAAGCAGCCCGCACUUCCUAAAAUGGCCGCUGAGAAGCUCGUCGUAGGGAUCAGGGAGUCGAGGAUGACGAACGAUUCCUGACUCCCGAAUCACAAGAAAGAGCCGACAUGAGCGAGUCUCACCAAAAAAAGCCGGGGGGAAAAAAAGGAGCUUUUAGAGAUGUUGAUGCUAAUAUUUUGUUUUUGUGACAUCUCAAACUAUAAAACAACAAAGUCAAGACGAAAAAGUGCUUUUGAUGGCAAAUGCAGAUCCAAAAACUAAGACAGGCACUGUAAGAGACGCUGACUCCAGUUGGAUGUCGGUGGCCUUUUUACAGGGCGAUCGUCCAUCGCUGCAUGAACGGAGUCUUCUUUUCACGAUGGCGCCGCACGCUUUCUACGACACGUAUUCUGUUUAUAACCUACUUUGCUCGAGCGUCAGGUCCCUAAACUUGCCCCGCCUCCGGCGUGUUGGCAUUUUCCUCCCUCAUAAUUGACACGGCGAGCCGAACUUCACCGCCUAAUCGUUCUCUUCUCCUCAAAAGCUGUGCCGAUUUGAAAUCCAAAGGGAUGCGACGCCGCCAUCUUCUGGUAUCAAUUUGUCAUUACAGUGGUUUACAAACCUGGAUUGAAAAGACGAACCGGGCGAGACCCUCUUCCACGCCUACCUCAAAACGUACUCGGCGAGUAUAUUCGUCGGUGGCGGCGAACGCUCGGAUUCCGGUCGAGCGAUAGAAACGUUCGCAGCAGUGAAGGAGUUAAAGACUUCGUGAAUUUGUCUCCGAUCUUCCAUCGAUAUCCUGGAAACCAAAAACGAUUGUUACUUGCCUCGUGACCAUCGCGCCUUUUCAAGAUGCGUUGUGGGAUACGCCGAGGGCCCUGCGGCACACGGGGACGACCUUCGCUCGCUACGCAUUCCGAAUGGCCGACCGACUAUUGCCAAACAAAGUCGACGCCACAUCGACCGACACGGCUGAAGCGAUGCGUGCGUGCGCGCUCGAAGAGGCGUGCGAGUGUGCGUGUGUGGAGGUCAAGUCAGGUGAGGACAUGUCGACCGCACGCUCACACAUGCACAGGCGCGCUCGGCCAUCGGCGCGCGCAGCGGCGAAUGUCGAUGAGGACGAGGCGCCUGCGGGGCGGGCGGUCUCCGGUGGCCCCAGAAGUCAGUCGGGCGCGCGGAGGAGAAGAAAGCCGUCGUCGACGUGCCGAGGAGAUUUCGAUUUGAUGUCGCUCCGACGUAUGCUCGAUGUCCUUGGCCCCGCUGCCGUGAAUUAUUCAUAUACAUCGAUGCAUUUUGCUGUUGCUUAAGGUGAGCGCACUCGAAAGCGAGGCGGCGCAUCGACUUGAUCGGCCGCUCGGCGGCUGGCGUCAAAGGCGAAGAGUCGCUUCGGUCCGCGCGCUCGCCUGAAACGCCGCCGAACGCUUCCGAUGGAAUUCUUUCAAACACAUUGAAAGACAAAACACAACUUUCAUUCAGAAAACAUGGAUUAAGACACAUUUUCAAAGCACAUUUAAAGACAGAACCGCUUAAAUGACACAUCGUAUCGUAUUUAUUGAAGACACGUAAAAAUUAAAAACACAUUUUAGGUAGGGCCUGCCCAAUGGGGAUUUGUUUCGCCCGAUUCUGAAAAUUCCGAUAAGCAAUUAAUCGGCCGAUUAAUUUGUACAAAUAUAUUACGAAUAAAAGGACUUUUUGGAAUCCCUUAAUGUUUACAAUAAUAAAGAUAUGAAUUACAGGCAGAACAUUGGACUGUUUUACAAUAUUAACUUUUGUUUGAAUGUCAUGAUUUGUCUUCUGCUGUAAUGUGUUGCGGAAAAGAAAAAAUGGCAACAGCCAAUCAGCAAAAAAAGCUGCCAAAAUGAAUAUCGGCCGAUUAAAUCGGCCGGCGACUCGUCGCUCGGACGCCGAUGUGAGCAAUUUUACAUUGAAAGGCACAUUUUGCGUGACUACAUUGAUUCAAAACACAUUUCAAGACAUUUCUGUUUCUCUUUGAGGGCUGCUCAUCUGACCUUUGACCCGUCCCGUAUGUCAGCGCGCCGAUGAAGGCGAAGCUUCCCGUCGUGUGACACGCGGCCCCGCGAUGCACUGCGGCGGCAGCGGGUUGCUCGGGGAGAAUCAUUGUCAUCAUUAGCGCGCGGCAUCAAACGCUCUCACAAGUCAGCGGCGAAGGAGCCGCUUGUUCCCGGUGGUCCCCAAUGCAGCGAUGCGUGUGCGUGUGCGUGCACGCGCGCGUGUCCUACAUAAUACGCUCACUGAUGAACUUCACCUGAACUCCGACGCUCCCCCGUACGGCCCGCGCGUGUUACCAUGGCUACCCCCGCUAGCCCGCCAUUAACCGCCGUUCGUUCAUUCGUCCGUCCCUUUAUCUAUUCGUGCGCCAUCCAUCCAUUCAUCUGUUCCUUCAUCCAUCUCUUCAACGAUUCAUCUGUUCAUUUGUCCAUUCACUGUUUGUGAAUGUUUGUAAAUUCAUGCGCUCAGAAAUGAAAAUCGCUGGCUCGGCGAAGGGUGGCGGCCGAGCCCCGGCGGACGCUCGAAAACUUCCGAGCAGCGCGCCAAACGUCCCGGCGAGCGUGAGCGGCUUCUUGAUGUUCGCGGUGGAAACUUCGGCGGCAAAAAGUCCCCAAAACAAACGCAAAAGGCAAAAGUGUCGCAUGGACAAAGUAGAAGAUGGAAGACAGAAAAGAAGAACGUGACUGGACCAAGAAGAUGUCAGAGGAGGAAGAGGUUGUCCAAACUACGGCCCGCGGCAGCAACUAAAAUAAACGUUGGACGCGGCCCGUGUUUGUUUGUCUGACGUGUACUGCAGUACGGCGGGAGAAGUACGGCGCACAUUCACGGUUCGGCAUUCACAAAUUCACCUCAUCGCUGAUUUUUCAGAAAGGACAAGAACGGCAACAAAGGUGGACUGAGUAGAACAUAUAAGAUAGGCAAAGAAGAUGUCAAAUGGACAAAGUGGAUAAAAGGUGACACAUAAUCACAGAGCCCUGACUUAAACCCAACUGAACAUCUCUGGAGAGACCUGGAAAUGGCUGCCCACCAACGUUCCCCAUCCGACCUGAGAGAACUGGAGAGGAUCUGCGAGGAAUGGCAGAUGAUCGGCAAAUGCAGGUGUGCAUCAUUCCCAAAAAGACUCAUUCGUGGCUGUAUUAGCUUCCACUAAAUACUCAGCAAAAGCUCGGAAUACUUCUGGCUGUGUGAUAUUUCGGUUUUUCUGCUAAAAUUUCAACCAUUUCGUUUUUUUGUCAAUAUGGGGUGCUGUGUGUACAUUAAGCAGGAAAACAAAUAUCUGCAAUGAUUUGAGCAAAUGGCUGCAACAUAACAAAGAGUGAACAAUUGAAGGGGGUCUGAACACUUUCCGUACCCACUGUAUGUCCCAAGUCCACGUGUGGAGAGUGGAGGACCUGCCCCGCCUCACAUUCGACAAGUUGCCAUUGCAAAUACAGUAUGAUUGGACUUCUA